AUUUUAGUAGCUUAAAUUUAAAGUGUAAUAUUGAAGAUAUUAAGAUAACAAUAUUGUUUUAAAAUAC
rnacentral:tRNA from 1 species